rnacentral:lncRNA from 1 species
CAGCAUUGCCUUCUAAGAGUGGAAAGGGAAAAAAGCUGAAAGACAAAUCAGACCAAAAAAAAAGCAUGGAUUCUGGAAUUCAUCCUGGAUAAAAAUUUGACCUCUGACCCUAAUUUACUGAGACUGAAGAACUCACAUGAAUGCUUUGAGCCUCAGCCCCAGUGUCUACAGGAGGGUAACAACACCUGAGGAUUUAUGAAGGUUAAAUGAGGCAUGUCCCAUUCCACCACAACUGUGUUCUUGAAGAACAAGAACAAAGUGAUGGAAGCUGUUAAAAGAUCUGAUUCAUUGAAGGCAGCAACGCUAACAAAAAUUUGAGAAGGGCCUAUAUCAGAUGUGGAGAAACUUCUAAUGACCUGGAUUGAAGACCAGACAGAGAAGCAUAUCCCUGUCAAAACCAUA